rnacentral:lncRNA from 1 species
AAGAUUCUUAUCCCAUCUUUCAGUUCACUCAGUUCCAGUAGGGAAGGUGGGCUUGCGCACGAGUUAGUAUCAGAGAAGAUAGCCCAGCCCACCACCCACGGGCUACGACUUGUUGGCUGUCGCUCUGGUGAAGUCCCAAAAGGAUCCGAUCUUAUCGCUUCCCCUGGUCGGGUUCCCUUGAAGUUUCAAUCAGAUCAAGACUCAGCCUUGCACCAUUUGGCUAACCGAGUUCAUGGUAUGCCUUUUUCCCUUCAGGUUUUAGGACUCCCCUUUUUUUUUUUUUGUUAUAUUAUAACUUUGGUGAGUUGUUUGGGCUCUUUACAGAAUUGGAACUGCUCUUAAUUCAUUUAUGCUUCGUGCAGAAAUUGAAAUUUAGUGAUUCACAGUGUAGGUUUUCUAAAUUGGAUCAUUGAAAGCUUGAGCUUAUAAGAAAGGGCCCAACUAUCAUGUUUAAGUUCUGACAGGUUCAUUCAUAUCAAUUCACUUAAAUAUGGAGGUUCAAGCAGUUCAAUAUGGAACUGAAAUAAUCUAUUUCCUAAUGUGUAAACAAUUCCUUUGUGAAACUGCUCAAGGGAUGAAUGGAUUAAUAUAUUGAGCUGAAAAAUACAUGAUUAUAUUUGUUACUAUUAUCACUAGGACUGUCAAGUUACUCUCAAGUUUCAACUGAAACUUUAUAUCGCCCGUUCUAUCAAUCCAGUAAAUCUCUAAUUAGCGCUAAAUGAACGUAUUUUUGAGUUAGCCAACGAGUCUUAUGCUAUUUUAGGGCAGCAUAGGCUGGUGAUAGUUUCUUAUGUAGGACUGGGAUUAAUCUGGAUGAUGCAUAAAGAGUUGCCAAAAAGGAGUAACCAUCAAGAGUGAGAAUAGAUCCUGCUUCUUGUUCUGUUAAUUAGUGAGCCCAGUAUAACGUUAAUGCCAUUAUAAGCUGGUGGCAGUUCCCUAUGUUGGAUUGGGAUUGAUGUGGAUGACGCAUAAAGAGUUGCCAAAAAGGAGUACACCAUCAAAAGAGUGAUGAGGGAAGCAUAUCCUGCUUCUUGUUCUAUACGUGAGCUGCCAAGGAAUCAGUCCCUUCCUAAUGUCAUUGGAGUCUAGUAUAAAUACUUUAAAAAAGAAAAAAAGGAGUCAAGUAUAAAUUAAUGUCAUGACUCACAAGAGGAUUAACUAUCUCCAUAUAAUGGAAUAGUUGCAUGUGCAUGCAUACACAGGGUUUAAAUGAUAAUUUUCCUUAGUAAUUAUCCCAUCUGGUGGAUUGGAUAAAGUACCAUCUGGCUACAUGGUUAUGAUAAUGGAAGCAUUGUCCCCUUUUUAGAAUUUGAUGCUCUUUUCUAGGAAAUAGAUUCCAAAUUGUUUCUCUAAGUAUUCUUUUAAUGCCUUUUAUUUUGCUUGGUUCAACCCCAAAUGGUUCUCCCAUCUUCAAUUUAUAGCAAACAAGAAUGCUUUGUUUCAAAGUGGUUGUUUGUUGUUGCUAUGUUGAUUUCCUUAAAUUCUCCUUAAUUGUAAGAACAUUUGGACUUCUCGAAAUAUACUUGAAUAGGCUACUUGCUUGUUUCUUGGGGUUAAAACUUUGUUUGACCAUAAAUUCGACGAGUACAAGUGCUCUCCAAGAUUGCUUUUAUUCUUUUUUUUAGGUCUGACAGAUUUUUCUUUGACAAAGUUUAUAUUGUUAAGACUUCUAAUGCCAAAGUAGGUAAAGAUAAGUAACAAAAAGAAAUUAUCCCUAUUUAAGAUCAUAUCAUCACUCAGUAAACUUGAAACGAUCUUGUACUGUUCCCAUCCAUCUAUGAUUUGGUCUUCAUCACUGUACUUGACAUGCAUAUCAUCUGUUAAAUCACAACUCUUGAGGGAUAUUUGUAAUUAUGUUUUGCUCAUUUUUCAUUCGAAGGGGUGACAUACUACAUUUGACAAUGAAAAACAGAAGAUGAUAGAUUAGGUAAAACAAAAGAGUUUGACAUAUGAACCUAGGGAAGGGAAUAAGUAGAAUUAUUUCAAAUGAAUCCUUCAAGAUUAUAACACUUGUAAUAGAGGUUUAGGAGGUUCCACCAAGUAGAACUGAUCUAGUUUUUCAUGAUCCAAUGAAAACAUACUAGGUUUUAAGGUGGGCUGGAAUGAGAUAUCUUUGGAGAAUUUGAGGGUCAAAAUCGAAUCAUAAGUGAAAAGAAGAGAGUUUGAUGUACCCAUUGCUGGUUCCUCCAUCCCUCACACGUUUAGUGAACAACCAUUUCUGCUUGUUUACAGCUUGGUUAGAUCAUUGGUGUAGCAAUUUGCACCAGUGACUGGUAUCAGUUUAUUGAUAGCACCAAUCAGGUAAUUUACAUUUUGGAUCAUAGAACUUACUUCAACUUUCAUAUAAAUCAUAAACCUUUAGUUUAAUCAAAUUACAUCAUUCAACUUUUUUUUUUAAUAAAUUAAGACACUUGUACUAACUACUAACACUGUUAACGGAAAAGUUGAGUCAACAUUUUUACUUGGCAUAUUUCUUACAUGCCAUCAAAAUAAAUAAUGUCCAGUUGGCAUUAUAAAUAAAUCUUUUAGGGUUUUUUUAAACCUUUGGUUUGAAAAACUGAAAGCUUUCUGAGUUUUAUUUCAUUGAUAAAAAGAAAAAAUCAAAUAGUAGAACAAGUAAAUUGAAGGGUUUACUAGUACAAUAUAAGAAAAGAUAUUCGGUUUUACAUACUUCUGAUUCUCUCAAGAAAAACCCAGAUGAGAACUAUAUGUUCACACAUGGUGGAUGUUUUUGGAAGAACAGAAUUGUAUUUAACUUGAAACAUCUCCAAUGGUCAAAGACCAAUUACACAUAUUUGAUCAUCAUCAUCAUCAUGCUAGGAAUCCAAGCCUUUCCCCAUUCUUUUUGGCCAGUUUAUCGAUCCUUGCUUCUGUUUAACAUCAGGGAUUGCAGAAUUCACUAAUUACCUAAAAUAAAUAACAAAAGAUGAAUUCAAUAAAACCAUCUCUUCUAUCCUACAAGGUGUCUCAAUGUCGCUAAUUUAAUUGGUUUUCUGUAGUGACUUGAGAAGAAAAAAUAGAAACAAUGGUUUCCUUCUUAUCAGUCUCAAAAAUGCAAUAGAGACUAAUUUUCCCAAUAAUUUACUCAAAUCAGAGGUUUGAGAAAACCUAAAAAAAAUAUUUAAAUGCCAACUAGACAUUAUUUUGAUGACAUUUAACAAAUGCACCGAAUUAAAGUGUAACUCGUAUUGGUUGAUGGCUACCAAGCUUUGAUAAUUGGAUUUUGUGGGAGCAUUUGACAGAGUAACAUUAUAGGCAACGAAGUAGGUUCUGGUGCUUUUGCAGGAAAGAGCAAAAGGUUGAUCAUUUUGGCGACCAUGCAUUAGCAAUACUCUUCUUCUUUGUAGAGGAUGUAAAGAACCUGAUACAUGCUCCUCUGGUUUACCAUGUGUAUCUGUUGAAUUCAUAAUUUAAUUUACUGGGAAGGCAGCAUCUUAUCUUCCUUGUGUGAACAAACUACAUUGACUCAAACUAAUAGAAGCCAGUAUGACCCCAAAAAAUGAUGGAAGUCGGUAUCUCUUCUAGGCUAAUGGUUUUGUAGAUCAAAUUGUGCUAUGUGUUGAGAUUGAGAUUUGAAAAUGUUCAGUAGUCACAUUCUUUUGCCCAAUUUGGAGGUAUUCCCCUGUUUUUGUUUGCAAAAUUUAUUGAUUUCUGCACUUAGCUUUGAUAUUAAUUAUGAUUUUCUUCCCCAGUAAGGUGAAUGAAGGGUGCCCUUUUCUUCUGGAUUUUGAGGAAAAUGUUAAAAGUGCUCCCAAAAAUCUGAAAACAAGUAAGCACCCUUUGGUGGCCGAGAUGUAGAUGCACCCUCUCAAACAUGGGCAAUGUCAGCAGUCUCAUCCAGAACAUUUGGUUUAUUCGGAAGAACCUACAGUGACAUCCCAGUAAUGCUUCCUCUGGUUGAUAUGUGCAACCAUAGCUUCCAUUAAUGCCAAUAAAAUAAAUUACCUUUAUUUUCAUAACUUCAAUUAGUUUUGAUUUGAUGAAAAGCUCCAAUAGGCUAUAGUUUUCUCCUACAUCUCUCAUAUCAGAUUGUAGCUGAAUGCAAGAUCAAACAAAAUGAUCUUUUUUAGCUGUCAAGCGAUUUAAUCUUUCCUGCUGGGUAAUGGAUUUGUUAUACCAUCAAAUCCAUAUGACUAUAUUUAGCUCAAGCAUGAGGGCUGUCAUGGAUGCUAGAUUAUGUCUGCUGGUGUUUCUUCACCUAAUUUCUCCUCUCCAGCUCCAUGGCAGCAACAAGUUUUGGCUCAGCUUGAUUUAGAUGGAGAACCUCCAAAUCUCAAGGUUAUUUCUUCCCUUCAUAUUAUUUUAAAUAUUAUCCUCUUUUGGAUUCUUUUCAACAAAUUGAACAGUAAUGUAAUGCCUUCUAAUGCUGAACAGUUUAUGAUUUGUAAUGAAUCACUAGUCAAAUUUAAGUUUUGCUGUUAAAUGGCUCAGCUAAGAAUUAUCAAAAUUCAAAAAUUGAUCGAUUGGUUACACUUUGAUUGGUCUGUUUCAUGUUGUUGACACGGUAGAACUUCUACUCUCUUUGAAUCUAUUAUAAAAAAAUUGGAGUUCAUCUGACUUGAUAAAGUAUACAAGAAGUAAAGUACCUUUUGUGGUAUGUGGCUUGCAGAAAGAUGAAGAAAACUGCCCGUGUUACUGGCAGUUAAAUCCCCUGAUAUUAUGCUUCUAGGCCCUUCCAGUUUCAUGAGUCUGAAGUUGUACCAACUUCAGCUAACAGUUAAUUUUUAGUGUUAGUUUUAAUAGUUUUGGUCAAUUUAAUAUUUUUUGCACCUUUUUGUUUAUACCUAAUAGGUAGCCAUAGAUGACAGUUUUUGGCCGCUUAAAGAAUUAUACCACUAAAUGACAUGGAAUGCAAUCGUUGCAGAGAUAUGAUUUGAAUAUCCUAAAACCUUUAUCAACUGGAACUUCCCUCGGAAUUGCCAAGAGUAGCUGCUUUUUGCACUGUUAUUGCAGUGGAGCAAAGAUACUGGAUGAUGAGUCUAUUGAAACAAGGUGUUUCCAUCAAACUGAGAUUUUGAAGCUUCUGUCAUCUAAGGAGACCACUGCUUGAGACCAAUUUCUAAUGUUAUAAGUCAUAGAACUGCAGUCUUUUAGGUUUUUUAUAUUUUUGGGCUGAUUUUUUCAUCUAUGUUCUUAUGACCUGUAUAUAUCUUAUAUAGGUUGUACAAUUUCCUCCACGUAUGCAAAAUUUUCACUGCGUUUUUACCUGCUGCUGAUAUUUGGUGCCAACCACUCAUUAUAUCAUAGUUAUGGUGUUAUCCCUGUUAUCCUUCUAUCUUUGCAGGAAAUGUGCAGUGAAAAUGAUAUUAAUAAAAGAAGUUUCGAUAAAUAGGAAACUGGGGCGUCAAAAGCCAGAUACGUGAUUUGCUACAAUCAAACUAGAGAAGGAAACAGAGGAAGCUGGUUUAAUCUAUACAAGAAGCUCUUAGAUAU